rnacentral:tRNA from 1 species
GUGAGCAUAGUUUAACGAAAAAACAUCAGGCUGUGGCUCUGAAGACAGAUGAUAGAGCCCUCUUGCCCAUC